rnacentral:rRNA from 1 species
GUAGUAACUUCAGGAAACUGGGGCUAAUACCGGAUAGGAGCUCCUGCUGCAUGGUGGGGGUUGGAAAGUUUCGGCGGUUGGGGAUGGACUCGCGGCUUAUCAGCUUGUUGGUGGGGUAGUGGCUUACCAAGGCUUUGACGGGUAGCCGGCCUGAGAGGGUGACCGGCCACAUUGGGACUGAGAUACGGCCCAG